rnacentral:lncRNA from 1 species
AUGCUGGAUGAGGAGGCCAUGUUUUCAAAUGUUGCAAAGGCACUUGUUCCUGGAACCAAGAGAAUGUUCUCUUCACCUUCACAGAAUUUAAGGGCAGAAAAACCCAAUUUGAUAAUGCAGUGUAAGGUUCUGAAGUUACUCUCCGUCUCGCUGAAGAAAUGUGCGGGCACAUUGUUCUUAGCUGUCCAUUCCAUCCAUUGGGACACAAGGUCAGAAGAAAAUGUAAGAUGGGUUUUUCUACCCCAUCUGACAGCUUCAGUUCGUCAGAAAAGAGAGCUAAACACAGCUGUGAAGACAGAAGGCUGAGGCAGCAUUCUCUUAAUGACUUGGGACAACUCUGAACCACUGUUCACAAUGAUUCCAGUGAAUGCGGCAGCAGAAGUCCUAUGACUUCGGCAUGGAAACAGCAGCAGCCCUCAAGGAUUUCUGGAUUUUAUUUUACUUAUUUUUUAAAGAUUUUAUUUGUUUAUUUGCCAGAGAGAGAGAGAGCACAAGCAAGAGGAGUGGCGGGCAGAGGAAGAGAGAGAGGCAGACUUCCCACUGAGCAAGGAGCCCGAUGCCCCUGAGAUCAUGACCUGAGCUGAAGGCAGACUGAGCCACCCAGGCACCUCGGAUUUCUGUAUUUUAAAUGAAUGAACAAAAUGAUUUGUGAGGCUUGUCAAAAUAAAGGGCAAAAUAUCAACCUUCUUUGGGCUGGAGAGAGAAAGAGGAAAGGGUUAACUACCAGUGGGAGAUUUCCAAAGCCAAAGGUGCCUUAAUUUCUACAUAGCUUUUUUUUUUCUUUCCAUUAAUUAUUAUAUUUAGCAAAGUUCUCUGUUUCUCACCCUUACUAAAUAUGGCAUUUAGAAUGACUGGCCCUUUUGAUGUUUCAUGAAUUAAAACUUCUAAGUUGUUAGAAGAUAAUUUUGUCUCUCUUAUUUAACAUCAUGAAAAAUGAUUGUUUUGAAGGUCUGAGAAAAAAAAAUGAUAUUACAAAAAGGUGGUCCCUCUACCUCACUUCAGUUUCCACUUGAAUUGCCUGAUUUCUUUUUCCCUUCCUCCCUCCCUUCCUCUUUGCUUCCUCUUUGACUUUCUUGCUUCCUUCUUUCUGUCCUCUUAUCCCCAAAUGUACAAAGCAUGCAAGGCACAAGUCGAUGUUUUAUUAAUAAAUAAUAUUUCAAACGUGGGU